rnacentral:rRNA from 1 species
AGGACGAACGCUGGCGGCGUGCCUAAUACAUGCAAGUCGAACGGUCUUUCUAUGGAAGCUUGCUUCCACUGAGAAGAUAGUGGCGGACGGGUGAGUAACACGUGGGUAACCUGCCCAUAAGAGGGGGGAUAACAUCCGGAAACGGGUGCUAAUACCGCAUAGUUUUCUUGAUCGCAUGAUCGGGAAAGGAAAGACGGCCUUUGUGCUGUCGCUUAUGGAUGGACCCGCGGCGUAUUAGUUAGUUGGUGAGGUAAUGGCUCACCAAGACGAUGAUACGUAGCCGACCUGAGAGGGUGAUCGGCCACAUUGGGACUGAGACACGGCCCAAACUCCUACGGGAGGCAGCAGUAGGGAAUCUUCCGCAAUGGACGAAAGUCUGACGGAGCAACGCCGCGUGAGUGAAGAAAGGUUUUCGGAUCGUAAAACUCUGUUGUCAGAGAAGAACAAGUUGGAGAGUAACUGCUCCAGCCUUGACGGUAUCUGACCAGAAAGCCACGGCUAACUACGUGCCAGCCGCCGC